CUCACUUCCAUUCUCAAUAUGUUACUUUCCCUUUUCUGUCCAUAAUCCUGUCCAACCACAGGACAGUGCCCAGCAUGUAUAAACCUAUUCAGGAGGCUGCCAGCUUCACAAAUUAUCCUUGGCUCAGACUUCUCUCCUGAGCCUUUCAGCUUCCUGCUCUGUGGACCAGUUACUCUCCAGGCCAAUGGAGAAUCCCCUUUGCCACCAGCCUGGGCAUUCCCUUCACCUCUCUCCUGUGUUGGAGCUGUUCCUUCCUGGCGUUCGUGCGCUCUCUCUCUCCUGGUGUGGUGGAGCAUAUUGUCGAGUAGCUUCUUAAGACACGAUACUUGGAACAUCCUUGACUCUCUGGGGAUAUUAAUUAUUGCUUUAAGAUGGAAAAACUGAGGCAUGAAGAGGCCGCUUCAUAAACUAUGUUGAACUAGAAAUGAAUACAGCAUGAAGCAUCACCAUUUACCACCAGGAUAGUAUGACAUUAGAAUCUAGCCAUUUACUGAGCACCUACUAGUUGGCUUUCCAUACUCAUUGAGAAUACCAAGAAGAAUAAGCUCAUUUCUUAUGCUGAAGAGGAGACAGACAUGCAAAUCAAGAAGUGGACACAUUACAAAAUGACCCAGGAGACACUGAGGGCCUCUGCUCCAUCCUUGCCAAUUCUGAGAAUAGUGCAGCCACAAGGAGGAUUGUUCUGAGGCUUCUCACAGGGCACAAAACCCCCACGCACUGUCCUCUGGCCACCUACAGCCUCUCUGACUCUGCACUGCCUCUGACCCUGCACUGCCUGCUUGAGCAAAGCAGUCUUUGAAAACCAUUUCCAGCCUGGCUAAUGAUGCAGUGCUUUGAAAAGUGCCACCAGGAUGAAAAACAGCUCACAAAUGGGGACUCCUCGUUAUUUUACCAGCACAGCCGGCAAGAAGCUCCUGCCAAGCAAGAUCAAACUUCUCAGGAAUGUUUUGAAAAGCUGGUGGAAACAAGGGCCUCUGUCACAUUUCUGUCACACCUCACCCCAGCAUGUGGGGAAAGCUCUCUUGGAACGAAUGUUAGUCGGUCUCAGAAACACACAAAAUUGAUGUCUCCAGCAGCAUUGCCAUUUCCACUGCAGACUUAAAGCUAUAUCUUUCUGGAUUCUAAUGCAGAAAGGGAACAGUUAGAGAAUCCAUCCAGGCUUUUUCUAAAAUGAGAGCCGGUUAAAGAUGCUGUUUAAAAAGGUGCCUCUCAAAGCUUCCCUCCUGACCUUCCAUACCAAAAGCCUGAGCUUAAUUACCUACAUAAUUUUCCUGGCUCCUGUGCUGUGGUCCAGGGGCCCUCUCUGUCCACCGGAAGCUAAGCCAUCUGUCGGACAUCUCUCUCUGGACUCCCCAGGGUUCCCUCUCACCUACACAUCUCGAUUAGCAGAUGACAGUUCUGCUAUAAUGUUUAUUUUACCUCUAACAGAUUUUCAGCUAAGUAGGUGAAGGGGCGGAGGUUCCCUGCCCAGAGCCAGUUCUGGGCUUCCUUUGGCUCCUCCUUCCAGUCUGCUAGGAAAAGGAACCUGGAGGCCUUUAGGAGGGAGGAGAGAUCACAUUUUCUUUGCCAUUGAGUAGUGAAGGUCAGGCCCUCCUUGCCAGCCACAAAGCAGAGAAUUGUUUGUUUAUUUCUCCGAGUAGCACUGUUCUGUCUCUGUGAGCAGCAGACAAAACCAGAAAAGGGAAUUCAUUCUGUGGAGCAGACCAAAGGCAGGGGGAAAACUUGUCCUUUGGAAAGAUAAAAGCAAAUUCAAUGAAGUGAUCAUCUUAAAUCUUCUAGUUAUUCUUCCCCUCCACCACCUUUCACCCCCAAUCUGAGUUUUCCUGGGAUUUAGGUAAGAACCCAUGAGAGAAAUGAGAUAUGGCAGAUAGAGAUGAGAGCAGCAAUAGGAACUUGGGGUGGAAAGGUGUGCAUUCAUCUAUAGAUCACUCAGCCAAAUAAGCCACUUAGAGAGUCCAGGCCCACAUUAAUUCCUUUGAUGACUCAGUGACGAGCAGAAUGCAUUUGCAAUACAGUAAGGCCAGAAACCUGGAAGAAGCAUCCUCCAUUCCUCCCUCUCUCUUAUCCUCCACACCUAAGCCAUGAUCAAUCUUACAGAGUCUGACUCCUAAAUAUCUGUCAAACUCACGCUCUUCUCUCCAUUUCCAUGGCUACUGCUGUAAUUCAGCACCAUCGAUUCCUGCCCAAAUGAUUGACACAGCUUUCUAAUUAGGCUGUUUGCCCCUUCCAAUCUACUCCCCACAUAGCACCCAGAGAAACCUUUCACAGGUGCAAAUCUUAUGCCAUUUUCUGGAUAAAACCCUUCAAGAUCUUAUUUCCUCCUCUCUUCUCCAGGCCCUAGUUUUAUGCUGAAAGCCCCAAGUCCUGCAUAAUUUGGUUCCUGCUUAUUUCUCCAGCCUUAACCCUUACAGCUUCCUGCUUCAAACAGUAGGCUCUAGCAAACUUAGCUUUUCUUUUGCAAAAUAGACCAAAUGCUCUUUCACUUUUGUGCCAUCAUGCAUGCUGUUUUCUCUGCUUGGAACAAUCUUUUUGAUACUCCCAGCCUUCCUUAAUUAGCUAUUUCCUACCUGAACUUUAGGUCUCAACUAAAAUGUCACUUCCUCUAGAAAGACUUUACUAGCCCUCAAGGCAGUUGAGCUAGAAGUUUCCUCUGUGCUCCCAUAGCAACUUAUGGAUUCACACGGCCCAGUUGUAAGAGCCAAGAGAGCAAGAGCCACAGCUAUGAGGGCCACCAUUGUAUUCCUGGCCCUGGAGAAGAAAACAAAAUAGGCUCAAUAAAAAAUUUUAAAAUAAAUAAAU
rnacentral:lncRNA from 10 species